rnacentral:sRNA from 1 species
AGAGAAACAAGCGGAGUUAACCGAAGAGGGGGUCGGGGAGAGCCGGAGUCGGGGACCCAGGAGUUUCCUGUGUCCAGCGCUGCCGGAGCCGCCUGAGGUGCCAUGUUUCAGAACAGAGUAAGACCCCUGGUAAAGAAGAACUGAAGAUAUUAUACAGAUACCAGAUAUAGCCUAAUUACAAAGAAAGCAUUAACCUGCCUCUGAGGUGACUAAAGGGGAAUAAUGGUGAUUUUGCGCCGGGCUCGGCCGCCUGCUUCCGCCCCAACCAGCAAUGAAUCUUGACUCGCUCUCGCUGGCCUUGUCUCAAAUCAGCUACCUGGUGGACAAUUUAACCAAGAAAAAUUACCGAGCCAGCCAGCAGGAAAUACAGCAUGUAAGUAAACUAGCCAGAAAACAAGUGCCAUUAAAGGAAUGAGUAGACAGUGGAAGGAAAACCACACAUUUAUGUGGGCAUGUUGCAUGAAAGGUAACUAACUUUUGCCCCUUAUUUCAAGUGAUUUCUGUCAUCAUCAUCUGUAAAAGAGCUCUUAGCCCAAUCUUUUUUUUUUUUUUUUUUUUUUUUGAGACAGAGUCUUACUCUGUCGUCCAGGCUGGAGUGCAGUG